rnacentral:rRNA from 1 species
AUUGAACGCUGGCGGCAGGCCUAACACAUGCAAGUCGAACGAGUGGCGGACGGGUGAGUAAUGUCUGGGAAACUGCCUGAUGGAGGGGGAUAACUACUGGAAACGGUAGCUAAUACCGCAUACCAUCGGAUGUGCCCAGAUGGGAUUAGCUCGUAGGUGGGGUAAAGGCUCACCUAGGCGACGAUCCCUAGCUGGUCUGAGAGGAUGACCAGCAACACGGGAACUGGGACACGGUCCAGACUCCUACGGGAGGAAGCAGUGGGGAAUAUUGCACAAUGGGCGAAAGCCUGAUACAGCCAUGCCGCGUGUAUGAAGAAGGCCUUCGGGUUGUAAAGUACUUUCAGUGGGGAGGCGUUACCCGCAGAAGAAGCACCGGCUAACUCCGUGCCAGCAGCCGCGGUAAUUC